GAGGAAUAUUGGUCAAUGGGCGAGAGCCUGAACCAGCCAAGUAGCGUGCAGGAUGACGGCCCUAUGGGUUGUAAACUGCUUUUGUAUGGGGAUAAAGUCAGUCACGUGUGAUUGUUUGCAGGUACCGUACGAAUAAGGACCGGCUAAUUCCGUGCCAGCAGCCGCGGUAAUACGGAAGGUCCGGGCGUUAUCCGGAUUUAUUGGGUUUAAAGGGAGCGUAGGCUGGAGAUUAAGUGUGUUGUGAAAUGUAGACGCUCAACGUCUGACUUGCAGCGCAUACUGGUUUCCUUGAGUACGCACAACGUUGGCGGAAUUCGUCGUGUAGCGGUGAAAUGCUUAGAUAUGACGAAGAACUCCGAUUGCGAAGGCAGCUGACGGGAGCGCAACUGACGCUGAAGCUCGAAGGUGCGGGUAUCGAACAGGAUUAGAUACCCUGGUAGUCCGCACAGUAAACGAUGGAUGCCCGCUGUUGGUACCUGGUAUCAGCGGCUAAGCGAAAGCAUUAAGCAUCCCACCUGGGGAGUACGCCGGCAACGGUG
rnacentral:rRNA from 1 species